rnacentral:rRNA from 1 species
GGGUUGUGAGGUUAAGCGACUAAGCGUACACGGUGGAUGCCCUGGCAGUCAGAGGCGAUGAAGGACGUGCUAAUCUGCGAUAAGCGUCGGUAAGGUGAUAUGAACCGUUAUAACCGGCGAUUUCCGAAUGGGGAAACCCAGUGUGAUUCGUCACACUAUCAUUAACUGAAUCCAUAGGUUAAUGAGGCGAACCGGGGGAACUGAAACAUCUAAGUACCCCGAGGAAAAGAAAUCAACCGAGAUUCCCCCAGUAGCGGCGAGCGAACGGGGAGGAGCCCAGAGCCUGAAUCAGUGUGUGUGUUAGUGGAAGCGUCUGGAAAGGCGCGCGAUACAGGGUGACAGCCCCGUACACAAAAAUGCACAUAUUGUGAGCUCGAUGAGUAGGGCGGGACACGUGGUAUCCUGUCUGAAUAUGGGGGGACCAUCCUCCAAGGCUAAAUACUCCUGACUGACCGAUAGUGAACCAGUACCGUGAGGGAAAGGCGAAAAGAAC